CCGUAGCCGGCUUAGCAAGUUUCCUGUUAAACUCAGCGACUCAAUCGUUGGAUCGCGGGAAAUACUACUAGGCUAGGAGGCGGGAGAGGUCAACGGUACUUCUGGGUAGGGGUGAAAUCCUAUAAUCCCGGGAGGACCACCAGUGGCGAAGGCUGUUGACUAGAACGCGCUCGACGGUGAGGGACGAAAGCUGGGGGAGCGAACCGGAUUAGAUACCCGGGUAGUCCCAGCUGUAAACGAUGCGAGCUAGGUGUUGGAAUGGCUACGGGCCAUUUCAGUGCCGCAGGGAAGCCAGUAAGCUCGCCGCCUGGGGAGUACGGCCGCAAGGCUGAAACUUAAAGGAAUUGGCGGGGGAGCACCACAAGGCGUGAAGCUUGCGGUUCAAUUGGAGUCAACGCCGGGAACCUUACCGGGGGCGACAGCAGAAUGAAGGCCAGAUUGAAGGUCUUGCUAGACAAGCUGAGAGGAGGUGCAUGGCCGUCGCCAGUUCGUGCCGUGAGGUGUCCUGUUAAGUCAGGCAACGAUCGAGACCCACGCCUUUAGUUGCUACCGAGGAAAUUUUCCGAGGGGCACUCUAAAGGGACUGCCGUCGACAAGACGGAGGAAGGAGUGGGCAAAGGCAGGUCAGUAUGCCCCGAAUCCCCCGGGCUACACGCGAGCUGCAAUGGCAGAGACAAUGGGCUGUGACUCCGAAAGGAGAAACCAAUCCC
rnacentral:rRNA from 1 species